CCUACGGGGAGCAGCAGUGAGGAAUAUUGGUCAAUGGACGCAAGUCUGAACCAGCCAUGCCGCGUGCAGGAAGACGGCCCUAUGAGUUGUAAACAGCUUUAGGACGAGGGUAAACGCAGAUACGCGUAUCUGCACGAAAGUAUCGUACGAAUAAGGAUCGGCUAACUCCGUGCCAGCAGAGGCGGUAAUACGGAGGAUGCAAGCGUUAUCCGGAUUUAUUGGGUUUAAAGGGUGCGUAGGCGGUCGGUUAGGUUGGAGGUGAAAUCCCGGGGCUCAACUUCGGAAUUGCAUCUGAUACUGGUCGGCUAGAGAGUAGUAGCGGGAGGCAGAAUGUAUGGUGUAGCGGUGAAAUGCUUAGAGAUCAUACAGAACACCGAUGGCGAAGGCAGCUUCCCAGGCUACUUCUGACGUUGAGGUACGAAAGCGUGGGGAGCAAACAGGAUUAGAUACCCGGGUAGUC
rnacentral:rRNA from 1 species